rnacentral:rRNA from 1 species
GAUGAACGCUAGCGGCAGGCUUAACACAUGCAAGUCGAGGGGUAUAGUUCUUCGGAAUUAGAGACCGGCGCACGGGUGCGUAACGCGUAUGCAAUCUACCUUUCACAGAGGGAUAGCCCCAGAGAAAUUUGGAUUAAUACCUCAUAGUAUAGCAGUUUCGCAUGAAACCACUAUUAAAGUCACAACGGUGAAAGAUGAGCAUGCGUCCCAUUAGCUAGUUGGUAAGGUAACGGCUUACCAAGGCAACGAUGGGUAGGGGUCCUGAGAGGGAGAUCCCCCACACUGGUACUGAGACACGGACCAGACUCCUACGGGAGGCAGCAGUGAGGAAUAUUGGACAAUGGGCGCAAGCCUGAUCCAGCCAUGCCGCGUGCAGGAAUAAGGUCCUAUGGAUUGUAAACUGCUUUUAUACAGGAAGAAACACACCCUCGUGAGGGUACUUGACGGUACUGUAUGAAUAAGGACCGGCUAACUCGUGCCAGCAGCCGC